rnacentral:rRNA from 1 species
CACAUCCUGGGGCUGAAGUAGGUCCCAAGGGUAUGGCUGUUCGCCAUUUAAAGUGGUACGCGAGCUGGGUUUAGAACGUCGUGAGACAGUUCGGUCCCUAUCUGCCGUGGGCGCUGGAGAACUGAGGGGGGCUGCUCCUAGUACGAGAGGACCGGAGUGGACGCAUCACUGGUGUUCGGGUUGUCAUGCCAAUGGCACUGCCCGGUAGCUAAAUGCGGAAGAGAUAAGUGCUGAAAGCAUCUAAGCACGAAACUUGCCCCGAGAUGAGUUCUCCCUGACUCCUUGAGAGUCCUGAAGGAACGUUGAAGACGACGACGUUGAUAGGCCGGGUGUGUAAGCGCAGCGAUGCGUUGAGCUAACCGGUACUAAUGAACCGUGAGGCUUAACCUUACAACGCCGAAG